rnacentral:rRNA from 1 species
GGUUAAGCGACUAAGCGUACACGGUGGAUGCCCUGGCAGUCAGAGGCGAUGAAGGACGUGCUAAUCUGCGAUAAGCGUCGGUAAGGUGAUAUGAACCGUUAUAACCGGCGAUUUCCGAAUGGGGAAACCCAGUGUGAUUCGUCACACUAUCAUUACGUGAAUACAUAGCGUAAUGAAGCGAACCGGGGGAACUGAAACAUCUAAGUACCCCGAGGAAAAGAAAUCAACCGAGAUUCCCCCAGUAGCGGCGAGCGAACGGGGAGCAGCCCAGAGUCUGAAUCAGCUUGUGUGUUAGUGGAACGGUCUGGAAAGUCCGACGGUACAGGGUGAUAGUCCCGUACACCAAAAUGCACAGGUUGUGAACUCGAAGAGUAGGGCGGGACACGUGGUAUCCUGUCUGAAUAUGGGGGGACCAUCCUCCAAGGCUAAAUACUCCUGACUGACCGAUAGUGAACCAGUACCGUGAGGGAAAGGCGAAAAGAACCCCGGCGAGGGGAGUGAAAAAGAACCUGAAACCGUGUACGUACAAGCAGUGGGAGCAUCCUUUUGGGUGUGACUGCGUACCUUUUGUAUAAUGGGUCAGCGACUUAUAUUCUGUAGCAAGGUUAACCGUAUAGGGGAGCCGAAGGGAAACCGAGUCUUAACUGGGCGUUAAGUUGCAGGGUAUAGACCCGAAACCCGGUGAUCUAGCCAUGGGCAGGUUGAAGGUUGGGUAACACUAACUGGAGGACCGAACCGACUAAUGUUGAAAAAUUAGCGGAUGACUUGUGGCUGGGGGUGAAAGGCCAAUCAAACCGGGAGAUAGCUGGUUCUCCCCGAAAGCUAUUUAGGUAGCGCCUCGUGAACUCAUCUUCGGGGGUAGAGCACUGUUUCGGCUAGGGGGUCAUCCCGACUUACCAACCCGAUGCAAACUGCGAAUACCGAAGAAUGUUAUCACGGGAGACACACGGCGGGUGCUAACGUCCGUCGUGAAGAGGGAAACAACCCAGACCGCCAGCUAAGGUCCCAAAGUCAUGGUUAAGUGGGAAACGAUGUGGGAAGGCACAGACAGCCAGGAUGUUGGCUUAGAAGCAGCCAUCAUUUAAAGAAAGCGUAAUAGCUCACUGGUCGAGUCGGCCUGCGCGGAAGAUGUAACGGGGCUAAACCAUGCACCGAAGCUGCGGCAGCGACACUAUGUGUUGUUGGGUAGGGGAGCGUUCUGUAAGCCGUUGAAGGUGUAUCGUGAGGUAUGCUGGAGGUAUCAGAAGUGCGAAUGCUGACAUAAGUAACGAUAAUGCGGGUGAAAAACCCGCACGCCGGAAGACCAAGGGUUCCUGUCCAACGUUAAUCGGGGCAGGGUGAGUCGACCCCUAAGGCGAGGCCGAAAGGCGUAGUCGAUGGGAAACAGGUUAAUANNUAAUAUUCCUGUACUUGGUGUUACUGCGAAGGGGGGACGGAGAAGGCUAUGUUAGCCGGGCGACGGUUGUCCCGGUUUAAGCAUGUAGGCGGAGGUUCCAGGUAAAUCCGGUACCUUUUUAACGCUGAGGUGUGAUGACGAGGCACUACGGUGCUGAAGUAACAAAUGCCCUGCUUCCAGGAAAAGCCUCUAAGCAUCAGGUAACACGAAAUCGUACCCCAAACCGACACAGGUGGUCAGGUAGAGAAUACCAAGGCGCUUGAGAGAACUCGGGUGAAGGAACUAGGCAAAAUGGUGCCGUAACUUCGGGAGAAGGCACGCUGAUAUGUAGGUGAAGUGAUUUACUCAUGGAGCUGAAAUCAGUCGAAGAUACCAGCUGGCUGCAACUGUUUAUUAAAAACACAGCACUGUGCAAACACGAAAGUGGACGUAUACGGUGUGACGCCUGCCCGGUGCCGGAAGGUUAAUUGAUGGGGUUAUCCGUAAGGAGAAGCUCUUGAUCGAAGCCCCGGUAAACGGCGGCCGUAACUAUAACGGUCCUAAGGUAGCGAAAUUCCUUGUCGGGUAAGUUCCGACCUGCACGAAUGGCGUAAUGAUGGCCAGGCUGUCUCCACCCGAGACUCAGUGAAAUUGAACUCGCUGUGAAGAUGCAGUGUACCCGCGGCAAGACGGAAAGACCCCGUGAACCUUUACUAUAGCUUGACACUGAACACUGGUCCUUGAUGUGUAGGAUAGGUGGGAGGCUUUGAAGUGUGGACGCCAGUCUGCAUGGAGCCAUCCUUGAAAUACCACCCUUUAAUGGCUGGUGUUCUAACGUGGACCCGUAAUCCGGGUUGCGGACAGUGUCUGGUGGGUAGUUUGACUGGGGCGGUCUCCUCCUAAAGAGUAACGGAGGAGCACGAAGGUUAGCUAAUCCUGGUCGGACAUCAGGAGGUUAGUGCAAAGGCAUAAGCUAGCUUGACUGCGAGAGUGACGGCUCGAGCAGGUGCGAAAGCAGGUCUUAGUGAUCCGGUGGUUCUGAAUGGAAGGGCCAUCGCUCAACGGAUAAAAGGUACUCCGGGGAUAACAGGCUGAUACCGCCCAAGAGUUCAUAUCGACGGCGGUGUUUGGCACCUCGAUGUCGGCUCAUCACAUCCUGGGGCUGAAGUAGGUCCCAAGGGUAUGGCUGUUCGCCAUUUAAAGUGGUACGCGAGCUGGGUUUAGAACGUCGUGAGACAGUUCGGUCCCUAUCUGCCGUGGGCGCUGGAGAAUUGAGGGGGGCUGCUCCUAGUACGAGAGGACCGGAGUGGACGCAUCACUGGUGUUCGGGUUGUCAUGCCAAUGGCAUUGCCCGGUAGCUAAAUGCGGAAGAGAUAAGUGCUGAAAGCAUCUAAGCACGAAACUUGCCCCGAGAUGAGUUCUCCCUGAGACUUUAAGUCUCCUGAAGGAACGUUGAAGACGACGACGUUGAUAGGUCGGGUGUGUAAGCGUAGCGAUACGUUGAGCUAACCGAUACUAAUGAACCGUGAGGCUUAACCUU